rnacentral:lncRNA from 1 species
UAGCAUCUGAAGGUAUAGUAUUAAGAGAUGUCGAUAGGAUGAGCAGAAUCAUAAGCUAUUGGACAAGGAAAUUUUUGGAUUAGUCGUUAUGAAUAUUCUAAGCUCGUACCCUUAAGAUAACCUCGUAAUAGUAGUCAGUGUCCCAUGUUUUAGUGUAUACCCCAACCAGGCCAGAUAUCAACUUAAUGAAGUUGUUGAGUAAUAAAGUAAUUGUCAGGAUCAGUAAAGGAGUAAUAACAAAAGAAGUGACACCGAAUAAGAUGAGACGACGUGUGACAGUGUUCGGAAAUUGUAGACCAAGGUUGUAAUGACGCUGGCAGAAGAUGACAGUUUGUAGUUGAAAUCAGAGUGCGCAGCAAGUAUUGAUUGAGAAUGUAGUCAGCAGUUUGGUUUUAGGCCAACAUCUCUUUGAGAGAGGAAAGUUCUAUUCCAAAGGUUUAGAUGUGGAUGAUCGUAAAGUGAUUAACGAACGUAUGACGGUUAGAGUACGCAUAAGUACACACUUGAACCCAUGGGUCAUCGAGAAACGACAGUGGUAAGCUAGUAUAGAAGUUGUAUACGGAUGGAAUAAGAACUUUGGAUUGUAGAAACAGAAUAACCUCCACAUAAAGUAUUACAUUAAGAACGGUUCGUUCGAGAAGUUUAACGCAGUAAAGUAAGCAGUGCAAGGGCGUGUCAAUGAGGAUUCGAAAAGUAGAACGGAGAUACUGAUGUGCUCAAAAUGAUUGGACUAAGAAAAGAUACUGCAAGAAGUCUAAUAAAAGAUGGGCGUGUACCCAAUAGUUGUAUUAAUGAAUUGAAGUCGAGGAUGUUGAUGAGUACUAAGGUUAUGACUGAAGAAGUUUCGGAAUUUCGAGGACGAAAUUCUUUUAAGGAGGGUAGAUUGUAACAUCCCAACUUCAAUUAACCGAACUCAUUAAUUAGAGUUGUUUAUAUAUAUGGACUUGAGG